rnacentral:rRNA from 1 species
AGCUCCAAUAGCGUAUAUUAAAGUUGUUGCAGUUAAAAAGCUCGUAGUUGGAUCUCAGGCGCAGGCGGACGGUCCGGCUCGCGCCGGUUCACUGUCCGUAUUUCCUGCCCUACCGUCUGUCGGCUCUCUCCCGUGGGUGCUCUUCGCUGAGCGUCCCGGGUGGCCGGCGCGUUUACUUUGAAAAAAUUAGAGUGUUCAAAGCAGGCCUCGGCUGCCUGAAUAAUGGUGCAUGGAAUAAUGGAAUAGGACCUCGGUUCUAUUUUGUUGGUUUUCGGAACUGGAGGUAAUGAUUAACAGGGACAAACGGGGGCAUUCGUAUUGCGGCGUUAGAGGUGAAAUUCUUGGAUCGCCGCAAGACGAGCUACUGCGAAAGCAUUUGUCAAGAAUGUUUUCAUUAAUC